rnacentral:lncRNA from 1 species
UCCUCAAAGGAGAGAUCCCAGUACAAAGCUAGGAUUUUCCGCUUUCGUGUCCUACUCUGUUUCAGAAUUGACUGUUGUUUAUACAGUAUAUUUGACGCAGCCAUAUUUAAACCUUGCCGCUGUCUGUGGUAGACUCUCUGUUCCAUUGUAUGGGUCUUGGGUCAGCCCUGGAGGAGGCAGGGGCUCCGGCGGUGAUAUAGAGCCAUGCUCUUUGGGUCACACGUGUCCAUGGUGAAGGCAACAAGGGACUUUCAGGGAGUUAGGCUAUGGAUGCUACUCUGAGAACUGGAUUUCUGCAGGGUGUUGAGGACACGUGGCUCUUAAACUUGCUGUAAGUCAGAAGUAUUUAGCACAUAACAGAAAUAAUUGGAAGUUGGAUUGGCUUCUGCAUGGUGGAAUUGAUAAAAAGCUGGGUGAAGAGUUUACGAAAUCAUGAGAUUCAUAAAUUAUCAAUCAAAAGGAAGCUACUCUUCUGCUCACAUCCAUCACUAGAUUGUUGGGUUUUUUUUUCCGAGAACACAGUUUGCUUUAAACUUGUGAAAAAUCUUGGAGAAUAAAAUACAUAUUAAAAGAAAAAAAGACCAAUGAAUCCCACUUCUGUUAGUCAUUGACUGACACUAUCUAAAUGCUGUGUUUUUCUUAAAAAACAAUAAAUUUAAUUGAUACAUAGGAUUACAGUAAUCUCCCUCUAAUUCCCAUAGAAGUGCCACCUGUUGAGAAGCUAAACUUAAGUAAAUUGUUGCAGUCCAGUUUGGAUUUGUCAGAUGAGUGGCCUAGUGAAGAGGAAAAGCUAAGAUUUCAGAAGCUGAAAGAAGAAAUUAUAAAAGAUGAAAAAGAAGAACUUCUUGCUGAUGAACAUGUGGGUGCAACUCAUUAUUUUACUGAAGCAGGGAAAAGCUACAGAAAGCAAGAACACCUCUACUCUGAGUCAGCUACUCUUUGCAGGACAAUUCAAGCAAAGCAAGCUGAAAAAUGCAGAUUGGCAGCAGAAAAGGAGCUGAAACAAGAACAAACUUUAUUUGAACAAAGGAAAAAGCAAGUAUUAUGUUACUGUCUUUUAAAAGUUGCUACUUAGCUUCUUAAUAGAUUGCUUGAUUGACUAUUUAAAAGGAAAGAAGUAAUUGCAAAUAUUUUGCACUACAAGUGGAAAUAUAGAGAGUGCCUUUUACAAAAUAUGGUCCUCCAAGGCAACAAGAAAAGUGACUUACCAAGCUUCUUACCAACUCGGCCAUGGAAUUCCAUGAAUUCCCAUUCCAGUUGAGCAGAAAAUAAAUCAAUUUCAGUUGAUUCCGAUGUUGCAUUACAUGUAAACUUAAAGUUAACUUUAUCUUGGCUGUCAGAAGGCUACAGCUAGAGGGCAAACUCUGCGUAUGACAAAAAUGUGAUACAUCUAGGGUAUAAAAAGUAUAUGUAUUGAACAAAUUUUGCUGAAAGAACUUGUUUAUAUUUUAGUAUUUUUCUACUAUAUGCAUACAUUUGUA